GACGAACGCUGGCGGCGUGCCUAAUACAUGCAAGUCGAGCGGAAGUUGGAGAGCUUGCUCUUCAACUUUAGCGGCGGACGGGUGAGUAACACGUGGGCAACCUGCCCUGCAGAUCGGAAUAACUCCGGGAAACCGGUGCUAAUACCGAAUAGUUUUCGCCACCUCCUGGUGGCGUACGGAAUGACGGUUUCGGCUGUCACUGCAUGAUGGGCCCGCGGGGCAUUGGCUAGUUGGUGGGGUAACGGCCACCAAGGCAACGAUGCGUAGCCGACCUGAGAGGGUGAUCGGCCACACUGGGACUGAGACACGGCCCAGACUCCUACGGGAGGCAGCAGUAGGGAAUCUUCCGCAAUGGACGAAAGUCUGACGGAGCAACGCCGCGUGAGUGACGAAGGUUUUCGGAUCGUAAAACUCUGUUGUGAGGGAAGAACAAGUACCAACUAACUUCUGGUACCUUGACGGUACCUCACCAGAAAGCCACGGCUAACUACGUGCCAGCAGCCGCAGUAA
rnacentral:rRNA from 1 species